GGGUUGAUAGCUCAAUGGGAGAGCAACGCCUUUGCAAGGCGAAGGUUCAGAGUUCGACUCUCUGUUGAUCCACCA
rnacentral:tRNA from 1 species